GAUGAACGCUGGCGGCGUGCCUAAUACAUGCAAGUCGAGCGAACAGACGAGGAGCUUGCUCCUCUGACGUUAGCGGCGGACGGGUGAGUAACACGUGGAUAACCUCCCUAUAAGACUGGGAUAACUUCGGGAAACCGGUGCUAAUACCGGAUAAUAUAUUGAACCGCAUGGUUCAAUAGUGAAAGACGGUUUUGCUGUCACUUAUAGAUGGAUCCGCGCCGCAUUAGCUAGUUGGUAAGGUAACGGCUUACCAAGGCAACGAUGCGUAGCCGACCUGAGAGGGGGAUCGGCCACACUGGAACGGAGACACGGUCCAGACUCCUACGGGAGGCAGCAGUAGGGAAUCUUCCGCAAUGGGCGAAAGCCUGACGGAGCAACGCCGCGUGAGUGAUGAAGGUCUUCGGAGCGUAGAACUCUGUUAUUGGGGAAGAACAAAUGUGUAAGUAACUAUGCACGUCUUGACGGUACCUAAUCAGAAAGCCACGGCUAACUACGUG
rnacentral:rRNA from 1 species